rnacentral:rRNA from 1 species
UACGGAGGAGGCAAGCAUUGUCCGGAAUUAUUGGGCGUAAAGAACACGUAGGUGGUUUUUCAAGUCAUGUGUGAAAACUUUGGGCUUAACUCAAAGAUUGCAUAUGAUACUGAUUAACUAGAGUACAGUAGAGGAAAGUGGAAUUCCUGGUGUAGCGGUGAAAUGCGCAGAUAUCAGGAAGAACACCGGUGGCGAAAGCGGCUUUCUGGACUGUUACUGACGCUGAGGUGUGAAAGCUAGGGUAGCGAACAGGAUUAGAUACCCUGGUAGUCCUAGCCGUAAACGAUGGACACUAGGUGUGGGGAGUUAUCGACGCUCUCUGUGCCGAAGCUAACGCAUUAAGUGUCCCGCCUGGGGAGUACGGUCGCAAGACUAAAACUCAAAGGAAUUGACGGGGGCCCGCACAAGCGGCGGAGCAUGUGGCUUAAUUCGACGCAACGCGAAAAACCUUACCAAGGCUUGACAUCAUAUUGACAAGUACAGAAAUGUACCUCCUUCGGGCAAUAUGACAGGUGGUGCAUGGCU